GGCGGACUAGCUCAGCUGGUUAGAGCGUCGUGCUAAUACGUAUUCAGUGUUAACGCGAAGGUCUUGGGUUCGAUCCCCACGUUGGCCA